rnacentral:rRNA from 1 species
UAGAGUUUGAUCAUGGCUCAGGACGAACGCUGGCGGCGUGCUUAACACAUGCAAGUCGAACGGUGAAGCCUUUCGGGGUGGAUCAGUGGCGAACGGGUGAGUAACACGUGAGUAAUCUGCCCUUGACUCCGGGAUAACUUCGGGAAACCGGAGCUAAUACCGGAUAUGACGCAUGGCCGAGUGGUCUGUGUGUGGAAAGAUUUAUUGGUCAGGGAUGAGCUCGCGGCCUAUCAGCUUGUUGGUGGGGUAAUGGCCUACCAAGGSGACGACGGGUAGCCGGCCUGAGAGGGCGACCGGCCACACUGGGACUGAGACACGGCCCAGACUCCUACGGGAGGCAGCAGUGGGGAAUAUUGCGCAAUGGGCGGAAGCCKGACGCAGCGACGCCGCGUGAGGGAUGAAGGCCUUCGGGUCGUAAACCUCUUUCAGCAGGGAAGAAGCGUGAGKGACGGUACCUGCAGAAGAAGCACCGGCUAACUACGUGCCAGCCGCCGCGGKAAUU